GACGAACGCUGGCGGCGUGCUUAACACAUGCAAGUCGAACGGAAAGGCCCUGCUUUUGUGGGGUGCUCGAGUGGCGAACGGGUGAGUAACACGUGAGUAACCUGCCCUUGACUUUGGGAUAACUUCAGGAAACUGGGGCUAAUACCGGAUAGGAGCUCCUGCUGCAUGGUGGGGGUUGGAAAGUUUCGUCGGUUGGGGAUGGACUCGCGGCUUAUCAGCGUGUUGGUGGGGUAGUGGCUUACCAAGGCUUUGACGGGUAGCCGGCCUGAGAGGGUGACCGGCCACAUUGGGACUGGGAUGCGGCCCAGACUCCUACGGGAGGCAGCAGUGGGGGAUAUUGCACGAUGGGCGGAAGCCUGAUGCAGCAACGCCGCGUGCGGGAUGACGGCCUUCGGGUUGUAAACCGCUUUCGCCUGUGACGAAGCGUGAGUGACGGUAAUGGGUAAAGAAGCACCGGCUAACUACGUG
rnacentral:rRNA from 1 species